rnacentral:rRNA from 1 species
AGAUUAGCUUGCUAUAUUUGUCAGCUAAGUGGCGCACGGGUGAGUAAUGUAUAGAUAACCUGCCCUCUAGAAAGGAAUAACAGUUGGAAACGACUGCUAAUGCCCUAUAUGCCUUUAAUACAUAAGUAUGCAAGGGAAACGCUUUAGUGCUAGAGGAUGGGUCUGUAUGGUAUCAGCUUGUUGGUGAGGUAAUGGCUCACCAAGGCUAUGACGCCUAACUGGUUUGAGAGGAUGAUCAGUCACACUGGAACUGAGACACGGUCCAGACUCCUACGGGAGGCAGCAGUGGGGAAUAUUGCACAAUGGACGAAAGUCUGAUGCAGCAACGCCGCGUGGAGGAUGACACAUUUCGGUGCGUAAACUCCUUUUAUAUAGGAAGAUAAUGACGGUACUAUAUGAAUAAGCACCGGCUAACUCCGUGCCAGCAGCCGCGGUAAUACGGAGGGUGCAAGCGUUACUCGGAAUCACUGGGCGUAAAGAGCGUGUAGGCGGGUAUAUAAGUCAGAAGUGAAAUCCUAUAGCUUAACUAUAGAACUGCUUUUGAAACUGUAUACCUAGAAUGUGGGAGAGGUAGAUGGAAUUUCUGGUGUA